rnacentral:lncRNA from 1 species
AUGCAUUUAUUAAGACAAAAAGGAAUUAAACAAGGGUCAAAUUUAUACCCUAAUCAGAAUGUGACAGUAAAAAAUGAAGAAGGAGUAACAGAUAUAUUAGAGUUAAUGGAAGGAACAUAUUAUGAAGAAGAAGCGAAAAUUAAAAACAAAGACGAGUAUAAUAACGGAAGUGAUGAUGAAGACAGUGAAACAUAUUUUGAUGAUUUUAAUUAUGAAUUUAAUGAAAAAGAAAAAAAAAAAAAAAAAACAAUCAACGAAUCAAUUAAUAACACAGACUAUUUUAAUAAUAACACUCAAAAUAAUAAUAAUAAUUAUUUUAAUAAAUAUGGUGAUAUUUAUAAUGAUAAAAAAGAAAGUGAUAUAUCUGAUCCUUUUAAUACACAAAAUAUGAAUGGAAAUAUGAACGAAAAUAUGAAUGGAAAUAUGAACGAAAAUAUGAAUGAAAAUAUAAAUGAAAAUAUGAAUGAAAAUAUUAAUAAUAUAUUUAUUUCAAAAAAAAAUAAAAACUUACCAUUAUUUUUUUCUAUAAGUAAUAAAUUUAUCGAAAAUAGUAAUAAUAAAUAUUUUAAUAAAAUUUGUACUAUACCUCCAAAUGAAUUAAUCAAUAGAUUUUUUGAAAAUAGUCCAGAACGAGUAAAAGAAGCUGUAAAAAAUAUUUUAUUUAAUAUAAUGGGUAAUAUUCAAAAAUAUGCAAUCGAAACAUUUAUACUGAUGAGUUAUGAAAAAUUAUAUAACUUUCUUUUACAAAUUAUUUUAACUGGAUAUAUGUUAAAAAAUGCUGACUAUCGUCUAAGUCUGAACGAAUCACUUUACGAACAAAACAAUUUAACACAAAAUAAAAAAGAAAAAAAUGUUUCGAAAUUAAAAAAAAUAUUUUAUACUUUAUUUAAUGAUAGUAUAAAUUAUAAAAAUAAUAAUAAUAAUAAUAAUAAUAUUAAUAAUAAUAAUAAUAAUAAUAAUAAUAUUAAUAAUAAUAAUAAUAAUAAUAAUAUUAAUAAUAAUAUUAAUAAUAAUAUUAAUAAUAAUAUUAAUAAUAAUAAUAAACAAACUUUUAACGCAGCUGAAUUAUUAGCAAAAUAUCAUGAAAUAUAUGGUAAUAAAAAAGAAAACACAAAUAAAAAAAUUAAUGUUGAAGCACAGGAGGAAGAAAAGAAUCUUACUGUUAUAGAAGACAAUAACGAACAAAAUCAACAAAGGGAUGAAAGUAGUAAAAGUAAUGCAAGAAAUGGUACAACUGUAAAUACUAGUAAAACUUCAAAUGAUAUACAAAACAUAACAGAUGAAUAUCCCAUUAUAAAUUCUAAAAAUUAUAUUUUAUUUUUAAGGAAAAAAAUAAAUUCAUUAGAAGAAGAAUUAAAAAAAACAAAACAAAAUAAAAAAUUUACAGAUGAUGAUAUACUUUCUUAUAUAAAGUCAUUAACUGAUGUACAACUUCGUUCACUAACAGAUAAUGUAGGUUCAUUGGUUUUAGAUGCGACUAAAAAAAUAGUUGAACUCGUAAUACAAGGUAUGACACUAAAUGUUAAUAAAAAAUUAACAAACGAAUUAAUAUAUAUUAAUGGUUCAGCUUUAACAUAUAUUUGUUUUUUGGCAGUUAAUUAA